UAACAUCUCGUCUAGUGGUAUGAUUCUCGCUUUGGGUGUGAGAGGUCCCGAGUUCGAUUCUUGGAAUGCCCC
rnacentral:tRNA from 1 species